CGCACAAGAACUUAAAAGCAUGGGCAGGAUCAUACUUUGAGACUGGAAGUAUUUGAAUAGUGGUUGAAGGGUGGCAUAAGCUAGUAGAGCAGGAAUGAGGCACAUUGCAUAUUUGCCAGCUUCAGCUGAGAUUGAAGGGUCCUGUCCUAUUAAAGAGAGUAGCUUUCUCAAGAAGACCCAUAUGAGGGAAAGAGGGAGACAAACCAGGGUGAGAGAGACAAUGGCGCUGUAAGUAUGAAUCCCAAGCUUUCUAUAUUGUUGUGCUCCAUAAGCUUGUCCACACAGGGUUUCCAGUGCACUUGCCAUUCCUAACUGCUUUUCAAGAAGAAAAUUCCAUUAACUGUAUACAAUAUUUGAUCAUUUGAAAUAGAAAU